rnacentral:rRNA from 1 species
UACGUAGGCGGCAAGCGUUGUCCGGAUUUAUUGGGCGUAAAGCGAGCGCAGGCGGUUCCUUAAGUCUGAUGUGAAAGCCCACGGCUCAACCGUGGAAGGUCAUUGGAAACUGGGGAACUUGAGUGCAGAAGAGGAGAGUGGAAUUCCAUGUGUAGCGGUGAAAUGCGUAGAUAUAUGGAGGAACACCAGUGGCGAAGGCGACUCUCUGGUCUGUAACUGACGCUCAGGCACGAAGGCGUGGGGAGUCAAACAGGAUUAGA